rfam:Ixodes scapularis strain Wikel colony gcontig_1107728726102, whole genome shotgun sequence.
UCCUGGUUAGUUCAGUUGAUAAGGCGCUCCACUGAAAAUGGAGAGGUCUCUGGUUCGAUACCUGGACGAGGUA